rnacentral:lncRNA from 1 species
AAAUGAAAAUGUAAUAUUUUAAAAGAUGUUAAUCUCCAGGUAUUAAGAACUUUAAUGUGCUUUCUUUCUUUCCAAACAGCUUUUUAAUGAAAUGAUACAAGAAAAUGGCUAUAAUUUUGAUAGAUCAUCCUCUACAUUUAGUGGCAUAAAAGAACUUGCUCGACGUUUUGCUUUAACUUUUGGACUUGAUCAGUUGAAAACAAGAGAAGCCAUUGCCAUGCUACACAAAGAUGGCAUAGAAUUUGCUUUUAAAGAGCCUAAUCCGCAAGGGGAGAGCCAUCCACCUUUAAAUUUGGCAUUUCUUGAUAUUCUGAGUGAAUUUUCUUCUAAACUACUCCGACAAGACAAAAGAACAGUGUAUGUUUACUUGGAAAAGUUCAUGACCUUUCAGAUGUCACUCCGAAGAGAGGAUGUGUGGCUUCCACUGAUGUCUUACCGAAAUUCUUUGCUAGCUGGUGGUGAUGAUGACACCAUGUCAGUCAUUAGUGGAAUCAGCAGCCGGGGGUCAACUGUGCGGAGUAAAAAAUCAAAACCAUCUACAGGAAAACGGAAAGUGGUUGAAGGCAUGCAGCUUUCACUCACUGAAGAAAGUAGUAGUAGUGAUAGUAUGUGGUUAAGCAGAGAACAAACACUGCACACCCCUGUUAUGAUGCAGACACCACAACUCACCUCCACUAUUAUGAGAGAGCCGAAAAGAUUACGGCCUGAGGAUAGCUUCAUGAGUGUUUAUCCAAUGCAGACUGAACAUCAUCAAACACCUCUUGAUUAUAAUCGGCGUGGCACAAGCCUAAUGGAAGAUGAUGAAGAGCCAAUUGUUGAAGAUGUUAUGAUGUCCUCAGAAGGGAGGAUUGAGGAUCUUAAUGAGGGAAUGGAUUUUGACACCAUGGAUAUAGAUUUGGUAAGAAACUUCAUGAUUUCUGUAAGAUUUUCAAUUUAGAUCUUUUGAAAAUUAUGUUGGAUAUUUAUUAGAGUAGAGAAAUACUUACCAAGAGAAAUAAGUUUUGCAAAAAUAUUAAAUAAAAUAGUUGCCAGG